GUGUCAGCAGCCGCGGUAAUACGGAGGAUCCAAGCGUUAUCCGGAUUUAUUGGGUUUAAAGGGUGCGUAGGCGGCGUGCUAAGUCAGUGGUGAAAGACGGUGGCUCAACCAUCGCAGUGCCGUUGAUACUGGCGCGCUUGAAUGCGGAUGAGGUAGGCGGAAUGUGGCAAGUAGCGGUGAAAUGCAUAGAUAUGCCACAGAACACCGAUUGCGAAGGCAGCUUACCAAGGCGCGAUUGACGCUGAUGCACGAAAGCGUGGGGAUCGAACAGGAUUAGAUACCCUGGUAGUCCACGCCCUAAACGAUGAUGACUCGGUGUCGGCGAUACACGGCCGGCGCCCAAGCGAAAGCGUUAAGUCAUCCACCUGGGGAGUACGCCCGCAAGGGUGAA
rnacentral:rRNA from 1 species